rnacentral:rRNA from 1 species
AUUGAACGCUGGCGGCAUGCCUUACACAUGCAAGUCGAACGGUAACAGGUCUUCGGAUGCUGACGAGCGGCGAACGGGUGAGUAAUACAUCGGAACGUGCCUAGUAGUGGGGGAUAACUACUCGAAAGAGUGGCUAAUACCGCAUGAGAUCUACGGAUGAAAGCAGGGGAUCGCAAGGCCUUGUGCUACUAGAGCGGCCGAUGGCAGAUUAGGUAGUUGGUGGGAUAAAAGCUUACCAAGCCGACGAUCUGUAGCUGGUCUGAGAGGACGAUCAGCCACACUGGGACUGAGACACGGCCCAGACUCCUACGGGAGGCAGCAGUGGGGAAUUUUGGACAAUGGGCGCAAGCCUGAUCCAGCAAUGCCGCGUGCAGGAUGAAGGCCUUCGGGUUGUAAACUGCUUUUGUACGGAACGAAAAGCCCUGGGUUAAUACCCUGGGGUCAUGACGGUACCGUAAGAAUAAGCACCGGCUAACUACGUGCCAGCCGCCGCAGUAAGAC